UACGAGGGGGGCAAAUGUUGUUCGGAAUCACUGGGCGUAAAGGGAGCGUAGGCGGGUUUCUAAGUCAGGUGUUUAAUCCCGGGGCCCAACCCCGGACAGGCACUUGAAACUGGGAAUCUUGAAUAGGGGAGAGGUCGGUGGAAUUGGAGGUGUAGCGGUGGAAUGCGUAGAGAUCUCCAAGAACACCAGUUGCGAAGGCGGCCGACUGGACCCAUAUUGACGCUGAGGCUCGAAAGCAUGGGGAGCAAACAGG
rnacentral:rRNA from 1 species